CCGCUGAUGUCAUCUAUCUGGACUUCAGUAAGGUCUUUGGCACAGUACCCCACAACACCUGUUCAACGGAUGAAGAGCUGGCUGCAGGAACAAGUCCAGAGAAUGGUGGUCAAUGGCUCAGAGUUUGGAUGGAUAUCAGUGGAUAUCUGGCAUUCCCCAGGGAAACAUAAAAGUAACUGAGAGCAAUAAAAUCAGAACCCGUGGCAUCCCUAGAACUCAGGUACCUGCUCUGUUUCACCAAGAAGUCUUAAAGCACUGCACAAUAAACAGAUUUAAGCACUCAUGCACAGGAGACUCCAGAUAGGCUGCAACUACUGCUCACAGUGUUAUUGUGCCUGUGCUCAGGUGACUGCUGUUCUGAAGAGCCAUUUGCCAGCACACCCACCCCGGUUAAGACUUUUCAACAGACUUCUAAAAACUCUUAUCUCCCUUCGAACACAGAACAUCUCAGGUUGCCAUGGUAACACUGCAUUCUGCUUCUCCAACAACCAGAACACUGCUUUUAGAUCUUCUCCCUUACGCAAGCCUACGUAAGUCAAGGCUCUCCAGUCUACAAGACCAAACAGAGUUGCAAGCUCCCAAGUUUUGCCUCUCUCAGGCUCUGAUAUUUAUGAACUCACUUGCAUGCCCACUAAGAAAAGCACUGUGCCCACGUUUCCUGCCCUCUGAAUCUCCUCUCUUCCAUCAAGACAACAAUGUUUUAUACAUUCCCAUGGACCACAGGAAUUUAUUCAUUGGGUUUGCAGCCUUUCUUCAUUUGGAUCACAUCUCAGCCUUUACUUGUUAUUUGUGAACACAUACAUCUUUACAGAUGUUGGAGAGACUAGCUCUAAGGCCGGUAGACUAGAUAAGCUAAAAAUAAAGCACAACCAACAAGAACUCCUUACAGGAAUAUGUUUAUCUGGAACAAAAGAGGAAACACUUCAAAGCCUGGAACUUCAUGCCACUCCGUAAGCUAGGCAGAAAAACAUCUUUCUUGCCCUGCUUUGUAACUACCUGCACUCCUCUAGUCCUUGCUGCAAGGAAAGAGAAGCAGAGACGAAGUGCAAGCAAACAGGUGGCAACACAGCCCUUCUCACACAGUGUUCUCUUUGAAAAUUUCCACCCUCACCUAAAAACAAGUACAUCCUGGUUUAUGGAGAGUGUUACAAGUAGAAUCCCACAGCCUCUGAGGGCUCUCAUGAGCAAUAUACUUCUGAUCAACUCAUUUCUGCCUUGGGUCAGAGGUACUCUGCCUCUGUGUGAAACAGCUGCUCUUGCUGGAUUCCCGUAGACCUGAGCAUUCCUGCCUCAUUUCUGCACAAGUCAGGUGAUGCUUCUAUAAAGCUGUUCUUCUCUGCCUCCCUGCUUGCACCCUCCAUCUCCCCACUAGCAUUUCCAGGUGGUGAAUCAAGCAAUCAGAUCCACAGGAAAGAAAUAGGGGAGAAGAUAGAUUGCCUCCACAAUUCCUCUGUUUCUCAGACUUCUGGUUUUACUCCUGCUUCACCCUUAGGCCAAAAGCUCUGCCUAGUUCUGAGGUAAGAUGCUGCGGUCCUUAACUCUCAGAUCUAGUUUAGUUCACCUUUUCAGAUUCAACAGCGGAAUGAGUUUUGAAAACUAAGCUAAAGAUUCCACCCUUUUAUUGACAUUUGUUGAGACCAAUACUGUACAAAUUGUAUGGAACAGCAGUAAAUGCCAAAUCUGGCCACCACAACCUUGUCUGCUCAGUCAACCACCUGCUUCGAUAUUAGGUUUAAUUGAACUAGUAGCAAUUUUCCUGUAAGCGUUUUCACAAUGCUUUAGACAAUGCUUCUGACUGCUUCCUGGCUUAAUAGGUAAAAUGUUGUUCUCCCUGCAGUAAUUACAGGUUCUAUAGUACUUUGAGAAGAACUGCAGCGGACAAUACAUGAACACUUCAAUGCUGUGAUCAUACGAUGAGCCUUGCAGUGACUUCUGGGUGACAAGGUUUAAUGCCACAAUAGUAAGGGAAUGACUGAUAACAUUUGCAUGUACUGUUCUUGUACGUUACUGCAUGGCUGCAGGAAGCUGGAAGGAAAUAAGGUUCCUAAAAUAGUCUUCAUAAUUAAUUAAUUGUGUUACAGAACCAGAAGCAGUCCUCCACUGUGGCUAUCUAACUGCUGAAGACUACAGACAAGCUGGCAUGUGGGAUGGCUGGAAGGAGCGAAUGAUUUAUAUAGCAGAUCUUGGUAAAAUUUCAGUGAUAUUAAUACUUGACAAGCGAGGUACUUCUGCUCUUAGCACCACGUCUGUCAGGCUUGAGUGUUUCACAGCCAGUUCACUCUUAACUGGAACG